AGAACGAACGCUGGCGGCAGGCCUCAAACAUGCAAGUCUAGGGGGUGCAGCAAUGCAUCACCGGCGGACGGGUGCGUAACACGUGGGAAUAUACCUUUUGGUUCGGAACAACGCAGGGAAACUUGCGCUAAUACCGAAUGUGUCCUUACGGAGAAAGAUUUAUCGCCAAAGGAUUAGCCCGCGUCCGAUUAGCUAGUUGGUGAGGUAAUGGCUCACCAAGGCUCCGAUCGGUAGCUGUUCUGAGAGGAAGAUCAGCCACACUGGGACUGAGACACGGCCCAGACUCCUACGGGAGGCAGCAGUUGGGAAUCUUGGACAAUGGGGGAAACCCUGAUCCAGCCAUGCCGCGUGAGUGAUGAAGGCCUUCGGGUUGUAAAACUCUUUCGACGGGACGAUAAUGACGGUACCCGUAGAAGAAGCGUCCGGCUAACUUCGCGCCAGCAGCCGC
rnacentral:rRNA from 1 species